rnacentral:misc_RNA from 1 species
UCCGGUUUGUCACCGGCAGUCUCCCAUGAGUCCCCAACUGAAUGCUGGCAACAUAGGACGGGGGUUGCGCUCGUUGCGGGACUUAACCCAACAUCUCUGCCGGAUUUCCGUGCAUGUCAAGCCCAGGUAAGGUUCUUCGCGUUGCAUCGAAUUAAUCCGCAUGCUCCGCCGCUUGUGCGGGCCCCCGUCAAUUCCUUUGAGUUUUAGCCUUGCGGCCGUACUCCCCAGGCGGGGCGCUUAAUGCGUUAGCUACGGCACAGAAUCCGUGGAAGGGAUCCCACACCUAGCGCCCACCGUUUACGGCGUGGACUAC